ACGAACGCUGGCGGCGUGCUUAACACAUGCAAGUCGAACGGAAAGGCCCUGCUUUUGUGGGGUGCUCGAGUGGCGAACGGGUGAGUAACACGUGAGUAACCUGCCCUUGACUUUGGGUUAACUUCAGGAAACUGGGGCUAAUACCGGAUAGGAGCUCCUGCUGCAUGGUGGGGGUUGGAAAGUUUCGGCGGUUGGGGAUGGACUCGCGGCUUAUCAGCUUGUUGGUGGGGUAGUGGCUUACCAAGGCUUUGACGGGUAGCCGGCCUGAGAGGGUGACCGGCCACAUUGGGACUGAGAUACGGCCCAGACUCCUACGGGAGGCAGCAGUGGUGAAUAUUGCACAAUGGGCGGAAGCCUGAUGCAGCAACGCCGCGUGCGGGAUGACGGCCUUCGGGUUGUAAACCGCUUUCGCCUGUGACGAAGCGUGAGUGACGGUAAUGGGUAAAGAAGCACCGGCUAACUACGUG
rnacentral:rRNA from 1 species